rnacentral:tRNA from 1 species
CCCCUCGUAGCUCAACGGAUAGAGCAAUCCCGUCCUAAGGGAGAGAUGUGGGUUCGACUCCUGCCGAGGGGA